AUGACGAUCAUGGGAUGGAACUGUCGAGGCCUCGGGCAACCUCGUAAAGUUCAAGAGCUCGUGUGCCUUGUGCACACCUAUAAGCCCAAGCUCGUCUUCCUCUCUGAAACACGGCAGAAUAACCACUAUGUAAGGAACUUAAAGUGGAGGCUCGGCCUUCGUCAUUGUAUCACGCAACUCGGCACUGGAAAAGGUGCCGGCAUUGCCCUCUUCUAUGAUGAGAGUAUACAGUGGAGAGGGACCUUUGUCUACGGUGAACCAAAAGCACAUGAUCGACACCAUAUGUGGACACUACUUAGAAGGAUUAAAGAUACGAGUAAUCUCCCA
rnacentral:rRNA from 1 species